rnacentral:tmRNA from 1 species
GGGGCUGAUUCUGGAUUCGACGGGAUUUGCGAAACCCAAGGUGCAUGCCGAGGGGCGGUUGGCCUCGUAAAAAGCCGCAAAAAAAUAGUCGCAAACGACGAAACCUACGCUUUAGCAGCUUAAUAACCUGCUUAGAGCCCUCUCUCCCUAGCCUCCGCUCUUAGGACGGGGAUCAAGAGAGGUCAAACCCAAAAGAGAUCGCGUGGAUGCCCUGCCUGGGGUUGAAGCGUUAAAACGAAUCAGGCUAGUCUGGUAGUGGCGUGUCCGUCCGCAGGUGCCAGGCGAAUGUAAAGACUGACUAAGCAUGUAGUACCGAGGAUGUAGGAAUUUCGGACGCGGGUUC